UACGUAGGGGGCUAGCGUUGUCCGGAUUUAUUGGGCGUAAAGAGCGUGUAGGCGGCCUGGUAGGUCUGCUGUGAAAACUCGAGGCUCAACCUCGAGAUGUCGGCGGAAACCAUCUGGCUAGAGUCCGGAAGAGGAGAGUGGAAUUCCCGGUGUAGCGGUGAAAUGCGCAGAUAUCAGGAAGAACACCUAUGGCGAAGGCAGCUCUCUGGGACGGUACUGACGCUGAGACGCGAAAGCGUGGGGAGCGAACAGG
rnacentral:rRNA from 1 species